UUUGAUGGCGACCGGCGCACAGGUGAGUAACACGUAUCCAACCUGCCGAUAACUCGGGGAUAGCCUUUCGAAAGAAAGAUUAAUACCCGAUGGCAUAAUAGAACCGCAUGGUUUGAUUAUUAAAGAAUUUCGGUUAUCGAUGGGGAUGCGUUCCAUUAGGCAGUUGGUGGGGUAACGGCCCACCAAACCUUCGAUGGAUAGGGGUUCUGAGAGGAAGGUCCCCCACAUUGGAACUGAGACACGGUCCAA
rnacentral:rRNA from 1 species